rnacentral:sRNA from 1 species
UACUCCAACAAGGCCACACCUCUAAUCGUGCCACUCCCUUGGCAGAGCAUAUGCAAAGCAUCACAAGGGAGUAACCAAAACCUUUUUAAAGAGUGGAUUUAAGGUCCACUCCGUGAGACUGAAAAUAAGACCAAGAACUAAAGUAGCCUGGGAUGAGACGAGAUAGGUCAUGGGCCGAGGGGAAAACAGUAUUGUCACUCUGCUAAAGGAGCAGAGCAAUACAAUGGCUUAGUAUCAUUCUGCUCCCUCUAUAGAUCAGUGCUGCCCCCAGCCACCAUCACAGAAGCUUCUUCUGGCAGCAGAUGGGAAACAGCACAGCGCUCUACAACCCGACAGUGUGUAGAGAGUAAAGGCCUUUGAAGCACUCAGCCAUAAAUGGACGUCUCUAUCAACCCCCUCAGGCUCGGGGAUCUAUGCGGAGGAGUUGGAAGACUGUAAGAACCAGAAGCAGUGAAUAGCUCCAAGGGAACGGCGUCUUCCAGACACCCGGGGACUGAGGCACAUGUGAACGUGGAGACUAUGACAGCGGAUACAAGACCGCACCGCUUCCAAACAGGCAACGGUCUUAGCACUGGUGACCGGUAUGCAGGAUGUCAUCAGCUGCUAUCCUGGAGGUCCAGCAACUUCUAGGAUGAGGAAAAUAGAUGUCUUACAGACAGUUUGAGCCAAGUUUCAAGCUUCCAGAGAGUGAAUCACAAUACGCCCAGAGGUUCCCAGGAGAACCCCAAGUUCUGAGCCACAGCACUGGGGAAACAGCUGCUGUGAGGGUUGAGAAAUGAGGCAGACCUGGGAAGCAGGAGGAUGAGGAUGCUGGAACAACAGUGCCACCUGUGUGGAGGGACUGCCCAUCACUCUGGGCUUCGGGUACACCGAGGAAGAUCAGGGGGAAACUGGAGUUUCAAACCUGGGCUCGCUGGCUGCAGGCUUUAGCCUGUACAGACACAAUUUUUCACACAGACCCCCUGGACCUGGCUCCCAAAAGCCAACCUUGGGAGAAACGCUCUCUCUCUGACUCAGGACUCUGCCGCUCCUCAGAGAGCAUCCCAGCAUGGUGGCAUCUACUCUUUUGUAUCCCUGGACAAAUACAGGCCUUCCUUGACUGAGCACCCUUCAAUCAAUGGUACGACCUCUGCCAGGUGACACCGUGCACGCUUCCCAGCUGGCGGUGAAAUUAACAAGCCUCCUCUCUCAGAGGCUUGGUUCUAAACAGCUCUGGAGAGCUCCAACCUUCACCUCCCUCGAUGGCCGGUGACCUAGUACAGUUCCGUGGAGAUGACCUGUCCAUUGAGAAACCAUCCCGAUCUCCUCAUAAACGCCCAAUGACGCUCAUCUAGCACAGCC